GAUGAACGCUGGCGGCGUGCCUAAUACAUGCAAGUCGAGCGAACGGACGAGAAGCUUGCUUCUCUGAUGUUAGCGGCGGACGGGUGAGUAACACGUGGAUAACCUACCUAUAAGACUGGGAUAACUUCGGGAAACCGGAGCUAAUACCGGAUAAUAUUUUGAACCGCAUGGUUCAAAAGUGAAAGACGGUCUUGCUGUCACUUAUAGAUGGAUCCGCGCUGCAUUAGCUAGUUGGUAAGGUAACGGCUUACCAAGGCAACGAUGCAUAGCCGACCUGAGAGGGUGAUCGGCCACACUGGAACUGAGACACGGUCCAGACUCCUACGGGAGGCAGCAGUAGGGUAUCUUCCGCAAUGGGCGAAAGCCUGACGGAGCAACGCCGCGUGAGUGAUGAAGGUCUUCGGAUCGUAAAACUCUGUUAUUAGGGAAGAACAUAUGUGUAAGUAACUGUGCACAUCUUGACGGUACCUAAUCAGAAAGCCACGGCUAACUACGAG
rnacentral:rRNA from 1 species